CAGGCAGAAUUCUGACAUCUCAGCCAUAUAACCCAUGCAUUCCUAAGAAGAUUCCGGGAAGGGCUGCGCACAUGGGUCCUGGGAGCAGGCUAAAACCAUUCCUUAUAGGCCGACCCCGUGGCGCACUCGGGAGAGUGCGGCGCUGGGAGCGCAGCAGUGCUCCCGCCGCGGGUUCGGAUCCUAUAUAAGGAUGGCCGGUGUGCUGAGCGAGACAUUGUCCUCUGUUGUGAGUGCCCACUGAGGAAGAUUCUGGGGUCCAAAGCUUGGUCUUUCACCUGCCUGGAGAAUGCUGCUGGUCUAUCGGAUCUCUCUGUUCUGACUUCCUUCUCGUUCUUUCAGAGCAUUUCUCAGAGAACAGUAAAAAACAGAGAAGUAACACAUUAAUCCUGGAGCUUUGAGGGUAAAGAAGAGGAAAAAGCCUUCCACAAAGUGCAUCUAGCUGGGAGCUAAGGGGCCAAGCACACACAGGAAUAUUUUUUCCCCUUCUUGACUUCUUUAGACCCCCACAGCUUCCUACAGAAGGCACUGCCCCCAGCUCAGCUCACUGGGCUGCAGCAGCUGACUUUCCACCCUUAGUCAAAAGCACAUACUCCCUGUCAGAAGCCCACGGUGUGAUGCCGAGGAUUCCAGCACCAGCGCCUCACCAUCACAAGCUCACGAGGACAAGGACAUCCUCAGUGCCACCUCACAGCCAACAUAACAUCAGUGGAAGGUAGCGCUGUGGACACUACGCACUGGAACUCAAGAGCCACGGGGAUGAUGCAGAGACGAGACCCAAACAAGGUAGGGGACAGAAGGGUCAGUUCUUCACCUGUGCAAUGACUCUGUGCCAGUCACAGCUCUAGGGAUUUCUGGUUCUUACUUCAUUACUCCACCACUAACUCUUGUUGACCAUCUCCAUUUUAAGAAGUGAGUAAAACAAGGGUCAGAAAAGGUUAAAUAACUAGCACUAGCUCUCACCACUAGAUGUGGCUAAUUCCACCACCCGGGCUCUUCAGAAUAUAACACGGCCAACCCUCCAUCUCUCCCCAGAGGAAUGAGGGUCCCACCGAAUGGGAACUUGGAACUCCCAGAAGAGUAAUAACUUUUGUGGCCCUCUUGGGUAAAGAAAAGCAAACAAGACCCAACCCAACGUGAGUCAGAAAAAAAUUACUUUCCAUCCUACCUCAUUUCUCGGAGCACAUAGGUGAAAUAAUUCACAUCCGGAGAAGUUGAUAAAUCUAUCUGGUGAAGUUUGGGGAGGGAGUUUCCUCGUUAGGAAAGUUUGAGCAAAAACAAACACUACCUCGGUCUAUUUCUAUGAGGUACACGCAUCAAGAAAACACACCUCAGCGGCAGUUGGUUAUCUUUCGCACCCACUGGAAAAAAUUGGCUUCAUCAUUUAGCUCAGCGGCACUUUCCACCAGGUAAGUCUCAGAGCUGCCGAUUAGGCAGUGUAGGAGCAGGUUCCGGCUAGGGGUGAUUAGAUCGAUUUCCAGAAGCUUUCACCCCAACCCCACCCCCUCUCUUUAUAUCCCCCAUACGUGAGCAACAGAGGAAUGGGACUGGAGGGAGGGGGGUGCAAAAGUGGAGAAUCCAUCCAAGAUCAGCAAAACAGCAGGCUAGAGAGAGUGCAGCGAAAUGCGAUCAUUGAUGACCACAGAAAACUGGAUUUAUUGACACCAUUUACCCAGCCCAGGGACUGAAGGUAAAAUGAGAGGCAUGAGGUUCAUGACAGAAGAAGGAAAAAACCAAACUCACUACUGACUCCUUCCCUCUGUUAUUUACUUCGCUUCUGAUGAGCAGUCCUCAAAACCCUCUGUUCUGUAGACAUGAUCCUCUUCAAGACUGAAUGACUCCAAGAGGCAGCAAAGUCCAAGGGGGUUAAGAUCUGUAUUUGAAUCCAGCUCUGCCUCUUACUGUCCACGUGACCCUGGACAAGUGUCUUUAUGUGUCAGUCUUAGUAUCUUCCUAUGCAAAAGACAAACACUGCCUACCUCACAGGGCUGCUGUAAUAAAAAGGCAACUCCAGGUAAAGCACUUAGCACCGAACGAAGCAUAUCAUAAGAGGUGAAUGAACGGUUAUUUCACAGAGAAGGAAACAGAAGCCAGAGGGAAGCCAGUGCUAGCUGAAGUGGCAUUUAAUUCAAUGUGAGCAGAGAUGGGAUAAGAAUGAGACUUUACAGGCUGCAAAACCAAGACUCUCAUAUCCAUCCUUCCCCUCUGAAUUUAAAUCAACUGCUCCUAAAUAGGUUUGAAGGAAUAGAGAAUGAGAAGGGAGAGGGAGCAGCAAGAAGAACGUUCACAAGGAAUGACAUUUGGAACCUGCAGCUGCUCUUGUGGCCUAAGCAGCAUCCAGCCACUCCCACCCUCUGAGCUGCAGACAGCGACAGUAUGCCUUUGCAGGAACCACUGGGUGGGAACCUGGACACCUGCAACCUGGGAACUUGGCCAGAUCCAGGCUACAGAAGACCCUCACCCUGUAGCGCAUUUCCUCCUCUCCUUCCCUCCACUUUGUCAGUUACUCCAGGAAAAGGAGAAUAGACCAAACAGCAGAAAAAACAAAUAGGAUCCCAAAAGCAAAAAGAAAGAGAAGGUCUUAGCAUGAAGCUGGGCCCAUGACUUCCCCAAUAUUUUGGAAAGACCCUAGGGCCCCUCAUCACACUCUGAAAAAUGUGCCCUCCUACCCCAGGACUUCAGUAGAAGUGUUAUUUUGUUUGGGUUGGGGUUUUUUUUGUUUUGUUUUUUUGGGUUUUGGGGCUUUUUUUUAACAAAUAGCAAGGAAGACAGGGGAGCCAGGCCCCGACUUGGAAGGAGCCAUGGUGUGAAGGAUGGGUGUCAGAGCCAGAAGUCCAGCAUCAGGUGCAGGACCAGGAUGGGCCUACCUGUGCUGCUCCACAGCCUCGUUGUCUGGCAGCUCGACCCCACACACGCUGCACUGCUCCCCGAUGGUCCGGCUCUCGGACUUCAUGCCCACAGCCAGCUCCCCCAGCUUGCUGAACAGCUCCCUCUGGAUGAAGCCCUGGGGCAGCAGCCCCCCAUAGGUGCUGAAGUCCAUGGAGACGGCCAGGGCAGGCUGCACAUGCAGGCCAGAGGUCACUGAAGAUGGCAUGCUCAACACAGCAUCAGCCUUGUGGUUGGGCAAUACAGAAUAGAUGCCCAGAUGUUUCUCAGCUGGGGGCGCUGAGGGCUCCGGUCGGCCAAGGGGGCCCUGGACAGCCUCAGUUGGGGGUGGCAGCUGCUCAGCACUUUCCUCUCGCCCAUAGUGCAGCUCCCUAGCACUGGUGAUGACGCUGCUUCGAGUUGGAGUCCCAGGCCCUUCUUUGCCCCUUUCCUCCACCUUGUCCCCCAUCCCUCCUGAGAAGCUGGACUCGGCUGCCCCAGGGCUGUCCUCGCCAGGUGCCUCAUCCACCUGCAUCAUCUCUGUCUUCACCUCAGCCACCCCUGGGUGCCUCCCACCCCCAGCCAGAGCUGGCUCCUCAGGCCCUGCAGGUGGCUGAAGAGUUCCCUGCAGGAGAGACUGUCCUAUGGUCAUCAAACUGUCCACUGCAGCCUUGGUGGGACUCAUGGCUGAAAGACCAAAUGAGGCGGAGGCAGAAGGGCUCUGGUCCACCAUGGGCCCAGGAAGGCUCUGUCCAGCCACACUGGCAUACCCACUCUCCUCGCUGGAAUGCUUCGAGAUGAAGAUGUUCUUGAGGUACCGAGCCUUGCGGUCCUCUUCUUCUUCGGGCCCGCCGUCAGCCAUGGUGGCCUCUGUGUCAUUGUCAUCUGAGGCCUGGAUGGUCUCCAAAAUCUUCAGGCACUGCUCCUCCAGGUACUCGAUCUCCAGGAUCUCGGCUGCAUACAACAGGUCAUCCAGGUCCUCGGCCUUGGCUUGCAGCGUGGCCGUGUAUGCAUACUCCAGAAUCUGCUGGAAGGUCUUUGGCGAGAGGAAGUCCAGAGUAUAGUGCUGGCUAUUGCGGUGGAAGAGGAUCUCAAACAUCUUGCUGGUGCAGGCCAGCACCGUCCGGUGGGCGUGAAACUCCUGGCUGUCCACCAUGAUGACCACGUCGCACAGAGUCCCGGCCAGCCGCAUCUGGUUGGCUUUGCACAGCAGCCCCGUGGGGUGGCUGGGGUUCUGCAGCUGGAUCAUGCCCAUCUUCGUCAGAUCCAUGGUGCACCCCUCGGCUCAGGCAUGAGGCUCUCUUUCCUCCCAGGCUGUGCGUGUCAGAGCAAGGUGGGCUUCCUGGGCCAAUGGAGAGGA